AGAUGAGCAAGGACAGUAUCUCAGGAAUAAGUCUCGGCUAACUACGUGCCAGCAGCCGCGGUAAAACGUAGGAGGCAAGCGUUAUCCGGAUUCACUGGGCGUAAAGCGCGUGCAGGCGGUUCGGUAAGUUGGGCGUGAAAUCUCCUGGCUUAACUAGGAGAGGUCGUUCAAUACUACCGGACUUGAGAGUGAUAGAGGAAGAUGGAAUUCCCGGUGUAGUGGUGAAAUGCGUAGAUAUCGGGAGGAACACCAGUGGCGAAAGCGAUCUUCUGGAUCAUUUCUGACGCUCAGACGCGAAAGCUAGGGUAGUAAACGGGAUUAGAGACCCCGGUAAUCCUAGCCGUAAACGAUGUAAACUUGGCGUCGGCGGCUUAAACUCCGUCGGUGCCGCAGCUAACGCGAUAAGUUUACCGCCUGGGGACUACGAUCGCAAGAUUAAAACUCAAAGGAAUUGACG
rnacentral:rRNA from 1 species